rnacentral:rRNA from 1 species
CAAUAGCGUAUAUUUAAGUUGUUGCAGUUAAAAAGCUCGUAGUCGGAUUUUGGCUGGGAACGAACGGUCCGCCGUUAGGUGUGCACUGUUUGGUCUCAGCUUCCUGGUGAGGAGGUGUGCUUCACGGCCACUUAGUCACCGUGGUUACUUUGAAAAAAUUAGAGUGUUCAAAGCGGGCUUACGCUUGAAUAUAUUAGCAUGGAAUAACACCAUAGGACUCCUGUCCUAUUUCGUUGGUCUCGGGACGGGAGUAAUGAUUAAGAGGAACAGUUGGGGGCAUUCGUAUUUCAUUGUCAGAGGUGAAAUUCUUGGAUUUAUGAAAGACGAACUUCUGCGAAAGCAUUUGCCAAGGAUGUUUUCAUUGA